UUCAAUAGGGACGCCCUCAGAGCUCACACAAUGAAAAUGGCUGGCGGCUCUAUUCACAUACUUAUUAAUAUGCGAGCACGGCCCCUCGUCGCCUGACAGUCGAGGGAGAUGAAAUGCAGCCAGUCAUUUUCUGCGGAAAUCUGUAUACUUACACAUUUGGCGCGGAGAAGAAAUUGCUUUGAUCUUCAACAUACGCCAUGGAUGCAACGAGACUAAAAAGCAGAUACUGCAAAGAACAACAGUUCAGUCCGCUUUUCCAGUUUGCCGUUUCGUUUUGAGUUUACAUAUUUUGGGACCUUUUACAAAGCAAGGAAGAAAACCAACCUGAACUGAACUGCACCGCUUAGUGAAAACAAGGCCUACAGUUGCUGCCAUGAAUUGGACUGGUGAGCAUCGUACUUUCAUUGUGGCAACGUUUAUCAAAACAAACCAAUCUAACUGCAACACAACGAGCGUUCAGUUUGCACUUCAGUCUUGGUAGCCAUGAUCCCGUAGCAGCUCCAAACACCAUCUUGUUAUGGUUACCAACUUCACAGCUACUGGAUCUGCAUUGAAACCAAAAUCAGCCGGCCAACCUCCCACCACCAGAACUGAUUUAAUUUUUGAAACAUAAUGAAACAGAAUGGCAUUAUAUGUACUUUUGGAAAAUAAAAACACUUAUGUUUCUUUACUUUUUUUGCCUUUUAUUUAACCUACAAAUGUGUCAGAUAAUUUUGCCUGGCCCUGGAUAUCUCGAUAUAUUUUGUGC